rnacentral:ribozyme from 1 species
UUUUUUUUUUUUUUUUUUUUUUUUUAAUAGAUAAUCGAAUAAAGAUAAGAAUCAA